CCUGAUCCAGCGAUGCCGCGUGAGUGAAGAAGGCCUUCGGGUUGUAAAGCUCUUUAGGUUGGGAAGAAGGGUAUGGGGGGAUAAUCCUGCUGGCUUGACGGUACCGGCAGAAUAAGCACCGGCUAACUCUGUGCCAGCAGCCGCGGUAAUACAGAGGGUGCAAGCGUUAAUCGGAAUUACUGGGCGUAAAGGGCGCGUAGGCGGUGUUUUGAGUGUGAUGUGAAAGCCCCGGGCUUAACCUGGGAAGUGCAUCGCAAACUGUCUGACUGGAGUACGUGAGAGGGUGGCGGAAUUUCCGGUGUAGCGGUGAAAUGCGUAGAGAUCGGAAGGAACGUCGAUGGCGAAGGCAGCCACCUGGCUUGAUACUGACGCUGAGGCGCGAAAGCGUGGGGAGCGAACAGGAUUAGAUACCCUGGUAGUCCACGCUGUAAACGAUGAGGACUAGAUGUUGGUAGGGGAACCUAUCAGUAUCGAAGCUAACGCGGUAAGUCUCCCGCCUGGGAAUAC
rnacentral:rRNA from 1 species